rnacentral:tRNA from 1 species
CUCCCGUUAGCUCAGUUGGCAGAGCACUUGACUUUUAAUCAAGGGGUCCGACGUUCGAAUCGUCUACGGGAGACCA